GAUGAACGCUGGCGGCGUGCCUAAUACAUGCAAGUCGAGCGAACAGACGAGGAGCUUGCUCCUCUGCCGUUAGCGGCGGACGGGUGAGUAACACGUGGAUAACCUACCUAUAAGACUGGGAUAACUUCGGGAAACCGGAGCUAAUACCGGAUAAUAUAUUGAACCGCAUGGUUCAAUAGUGAAAGACGGUUUUGCUGUCACUUAUAGAUGGAUCCGCGCCGCAUUAGCUAGUUGGUAAGGUAACGGCUUACCAAGGCGACGAUGCGUAGCCGACCUGAGAGGGUGAUCGGCCACACUGGAACUGAGACACGGUCCAGACUCCUACGGGAGGCAGCAGUAGGGAAUCUUCCGCAAUGGGCGAAAGCCUGACGGAGCAACGCCGCGUGAGUGAUGAAGGUCUUCGGAUCGUAAAACUCUGUUAUUAGGGAAGAACAAAUGUGUAAGUAACUAUGCACGUCUUGACGGUACCUAAUCAGAAAGCCCCGGCUAACUACGUG
rnacentral:rRNA from 1 species